GACGAGGGGUCCUAGCGUUGUUCGGAAUCAUUGGGCGUAAAGCGUGUGUAGGCGGCCUUACAAGUCAGUUGUGAAAGCCCCGGGCUCAACCCGGGAAGUGCUUCUGAUACUGUUUGGCUUGAGUACUGGAGAGGAUAGUGGAAUUCCAGGUGUAGUGGUGAAAUACGUAGAUAUCUGGAGGAACACCGGUGGCGAAGGUGGCUAUCUGGGACGGUACUGACGCUGAGACGCGAAAGCGUGGGGAGCGAACAGG
rnacentral:rRNA from 1 species